UUUACAUUGUUUCUUUGGUUAACUCUCUUCACUUUGUUCACGGGGAUCAUAACCUGAUGGGAUAAACAAUAUUAUAGAAAACAACAACUUGGUUAGCAACCAGGAAGAAAGAGACAUAGUGAGGGCAAUUGUCAAAUGUAAAUGUUGUAAGAAAGGAAAUAUUAAUUACUUUGUAAAAUAUUUUGCCAAUUUCUCCAUGUGGAGAAGAAAUGAUGAUUGGUCUGUCACUGCAGAAAGCAACUACAUGGGUGGAAACAAAGAUGAGACCUGCUAUAGGACCUGCUGUUGUUGACAAAUAACAAUGUGCAGAAUUCAAUAACUUGUCUCCGUGUUCGAGAUUGAACAUCUUGUGGAAUAUAUUCUCACUUCCUCCAAACUGUAAAAGUUUUGUCCCCAACCACAGCUUCCCCUUCACCGUUUUGGCUAUGUUCGGCGACAGUUUAACUGCAUGUCAUCAUUCCAUUGCAACCGUCAAGCAUUUUUAAUCCCUCGAAUCAAGUAUAUUUAUACAUUGUUAUCAAUGCAGGAAGAAUCAAGGCCAAUCUCUAUCUACGUGGGAAGAGAUAAAUAGUGCUUUCGGUUUCUCUAGUUGAAUCAUGUUUAGAUCGACGGAGGGAUUUCGAGAUAUUAUGCAUUGGAUUUAUAGAAAACAAGACGAGAAACAGAAGUUUCUAGAAAACAAAGAGGACAAUUCAAUCCAAUCCAUCAUUUCAUGAUCAUAGUCAGACAGGAAAGAAGAAGAAAGCAAUUUAUGUUUACCAUG
rnacentral:lncRNA from 1 species